rnacentral:rRNA from 1 species
UACGUAGGGGGCAAGCGUUGUCCGGAUUUAUUGGGCGUAAAGAGCGUGUAGGCGGCUGGGUAGGUCCGCUGUGAAAACUCGAGGCUCAACCUCGAGAGGUCGGUGGAAACCAUCCAGCUAGAGUCCGGAAGAGGAGAAUGGAAUUCCUGGUGUAGCGGUGAAAUGCGCAGAUAUCAGGAAGAACACCCGUGGCGAAGGCGGUUCUCUGGGACGGUACUGACGCUGAGACGCGAAAGCGUGGGGAGCGAACAGG